rnacentral:rRNA from 1 species
UUUUGAGAGAAGCGAAGAGGUCACACCCGUUCCCAUGCCGAACACGGAAGUUAAGCUCUUCAGCGCCGAUGGUAGUCGGGGGUUUCCCCCUGUGAGAGUAGGACGCCGCCAAGC